AGAAAAUGAGAAAGUUGACCGGAAAGGUCAAGAGAAGCAGCUGCCAGGAACACAAUACAGGAUACUGCCCUUGUAAAAGCUAUCUUCUCUGCAGAAUGUCGGGCUACCUGAUGUGCAGUUUCAUGGGCAAGGACAGCAGCUAGACCAUCUUCUCCUUUACACAUUGGGAGAAUACCUUCGAAUACAAAGACCUUCCCUCCGGGUAAGACGAACGCAUUAGGUGUGGGGUCUCGAAUUACAUGUAACUCCCAUUUCAAAUCAGACAUACCAGAAACAGCUAUAAUUCUUUUAAGGACACGUGAAACAUAAAGGGUAGUAGGAUGGUAACUUGGUAACAUACGGUCUCCGUACUCAGACAUUACUUCUUUGUAGGCGUCUUGUGCCAUUCGCUUUUCAAAAUCUAAAGAAACAUCAUUAAACCUUCGACGGUUACUUAUAGGAACGUAUUCCAAAUGUGUAAAAUAGUAUACACCUCCUCCUGCAAUAAGAGCACCAAAAAUCCAUUGAAACCUCUUGUCUCUAGGAUUGGGCUGAAAUGAUUUAUAUACCACUCUGUUUCUAUUGGACCAACUCAAGUUGUUGCUUUGAAAUCUUGCCUGUAAUAAACCAUUGAAAUUUCGAUAACUACAUUUCUUGUAUGAU